rnacentral:rRNA from 1 species
UGGGGAAUAUUGCACAAUGGGCGCAAGCCUGAUGCAGCGACGCCGCGUGAGGGAUGACGGCCUUCGGGUUGUAAACCUCUUUCAGCAGGGGAGAAGCGAAAGUGACGGUACCUGCAGAAGAAGCGCCGGCUAACUACGUGCCAGCAGCCGCGGUAAUACGUAGGGCGCGAGCGUUGUCCGGAAUUAUUGGGCGUAAAGAGCUUGUAGGCGGUUUGUCGCGUCUGCUGUGAAAGCCCGGGGCUUAACCCCGGGUUUGCAGUGGGUACGGGCAGACUAGAGUGCAGUAGGGGAGACUGGAAUUCCUGGUGUAGCGGUGAAAUGCGCAGAUAUCAGGAGGAACACCAAUGGCGAAGGCAGGUCUCUGGGCUGUAACUGACGCUGAGAAGCGAAAGCAUGGGGAGCAAACAGG